rnacentral:rRNA from 1 species
CCUCGGGGGGCUGCAGUGGGGAAUAUUGCACAAUGGGCGCAAGCCUGAUGCAGCCAUGCCGCGUGUGUGAAAAAGGCCUUCGGGUUGUAAAGCACUUUCAGCGGGGAGGAAGGCGUUAAGGUUAAUAACCUUGGCGAUUGACGUUACCCGCAGAAGAAGCACCGGCUAACUCCGUGCCAGCAGCCGCGGUAAUACGGAGGGUGCAAGCGUUAAUCGGAAUUACUGGGCGUAAAGCGCACGCAGGCGGUCUAUCAAGUCGGAUGUGAAAUCCCCGGGCUCAACCUGGGAACUGCAUUCGAAACUGGCAGGCUAGAGUCUUGUAGAGGGGGGUAGAAUUCCAGGUGUAGCGGUGAAAUGCGUAGAGAUCUGGAGGAAUACCGGUGGCGAAGGCGGCCCCCUGGACAAAGACUGACGCUCAGGUGCGAAAGCGUGGGGAGCAAACAGGAUUAGAUACCCUAGUAGUC